rnacentral:rRNA from 1 species
UACAGAGGGUGCAAACGUUGCUCGGAAUCAUUGGGCGUAAAACGCACGUAGGCGGCCCAGCAAGUGGGGAGUGAAAGCCCUCGGCUUAACCGAGGAAGUGCUUUCCAAACUACUGGGCUUGAAUACUGGAGAGGGUCGCGGAAUUCCCGGUGUAGAGGUGAAAUUCGUAGAUAUCGGGAGGAACACCAGUGGCGAAGGCGGCGACCUGGACAGGCACUGACACUCAACUACGAAAGCGUGGGGAGCAAACAGG